rnacentral:tRNA from 1 species
GGCUGGUUAGCUCAGUGGGUUAGAGCGUGGUGCUGAUAACACCAAGGUCGCGGGUUCAGUCCCUGUUCAGUCC